rnacentral:lncRNA from 1 species
AUGCAGAUUUGUUAGGUGACGCCUCCACGGCGAAAUCAUAGUCUCACACUCUCGCUACUUCCCAUAAGAUCCAUAAUUCAGCAAGGACUUUAGUCUAAUAGUUGCGGCCUCAAAGCCUAUGAACAUAUCUGCUAACAAUUAACUAAAUUCAUGUUAACAAAAGAAAGUUACCCCAAACAAAUGUGUAGCCGUCUUACAUCUCUCUCAACAGAACUGAAGUCACAUGUUUCGUCUCUAGCAAAAUAUCUUCCUUGUUGUAUUUGUUCCAUUCUGGACCUCGUCGCUUUCAAAGGUACGAACAAAACAACUGUAAAAAAAUAAUGGCGGCACAAAUGAUGAUUCACCAUCUACAUAUUAUAAAGAAAGAACA